UCACACGCACCCACACGUCUAUAUUAAGGUGCUCACGUAGGAAUGGUUUAAUUGUUAUGUCUUUAGCCUCGCUUAUCAGGUUUUCGCACCAGAUAGUGCGCUCGCGUUUUCCGUCAAUUUCAGCUAAACUCCAAAGGGACCCACCGCUACUUAUAAACGUGUUUUUGUGUGCUACUUUUGACUGAACAAUCCUGACAAACAUUUCCACCAGAGGAAGGUCUUCAACAAAGACCACCACAGACAAUCCCUUGCUGAUGACUGACUUAACUUGACUGUAUGGGGGGGCCCGCUGCCCCCCCAUAUAUCACCGACGACGUCCUAAUUGUGAACGGCGGGGGAUGAGGUCACAGGUCAGCUUAGCUCAGGAGGUAGAGCAGUUGUCUUGUAACCGCAAGGUUGCUAGUUCGAUCCCCAGCUCCUCCUAGCUGAGUGGUGAUGUGUCCCUGAGCAAGACACUUAACCCUAACUACUCCUGACGAGCUGGCUGUCGCCGUGCAUCGUUGACUCUGCCGUCAAUGUUUGUAUUAACCGAUUUGUAACUGGGUUUUUGAUCGUGGACAGUAAGGAUUCUCUGCCUGAUGACUCCAUUGAACUCCCCCUUGUGCAGAUUGGCAUCACUUUGACUGUUGCAGCGGCAAGGAAUCGUCUUAUCUCCUGCCAGUUGUAAAUGGUGUUGCAGUGUGCUAAAGGAGCCUGGGAAAGGAAGAGUCGAAGCGCCUUUCCUUAGCAGUUGGACAAUAAUUGGACCCGCUCUCAUCAUGGCUGCCACUCCUGGGUCAUUUUACUCUACCUUUCUGUCCACAAACCUCAUCUCCCUUGUAAAUGGUUUUCCUGUUAAUACUUAAACUAAAAUGGUUGCUAUUAUUUUAACUUGUGUCGCUUUGUGAAUAAAAACUAUUUACAAA